CAACAUCAAAUUGUUGUGGGCAAAUAUAAUGUACAUGGGUAUCAAUUGUACCUGCUGUCACAAUCAAAUUCUCACCAGCGACAACUUCGGUUCCUACACCUACGACCAUCCCCUUUGUCACUCCAUCCAUAAUCAAAGGAUUGCCCGCCUUACCAACUCCAGCAAUCUUGCCGUUCUUGAUACCGAUAUCAGCUUUUACAAUCCCCCAAUGAUCCAAUAUUACGGCAUUAGUGAUUACCGUAUCCAAAACAUCAUCUUGUAGGGCCGUAGGAUGCUGCCCCAUUCCAUCG
rnacentral:sRNA from 1 species